rnacentral:tRNA from 1 species
AAGGGAGACCUAAUUCAGGUAGGAGACGAAAAAAAAGUAGUCGCUACCAAGAAUCAAUCCCAAAAGGUCGGAGCGAGGCAAAAUUGGCUUUCAAACUAGGUUCUGGGUUCACACAAGACCUGAAUCAGGAACAAGGGCUGUUAGCUCAGGUGGUUAGAGCGCACCCCUGAUAAGGGUGAGGUCCCUGGUUCGAGUCCAGGAUGGCCCACCUGUACAGGUGGCAAAAAGAAAGAAAAGAAGCGAGGAAUCAGCACCUUAUCUUACUUAUAUAGUAGGAGAGAAUGCUGGCUCUGAGUACAGAGUCCAGAGGAACCUUGAAAACUGCAUAGAGCUAGGUGAAAAAGCCAAAAAAGAAGACCGCAA